rnacentral:tRNA from 1 species
GGGUUCAUGGCCUAAUGGUAAGGCGUUAGAUUUCGGUUCCCAUUCCGGUUCUCUAAAGAUUGCAGGUUCGAUCCCUGCUGAGCUCG